rnacentral:rRNA from 1 species
AGAGUUUGAUCCUGGCUCAGGAUAAACGCUGGCGGCGUGCCUAAUACAUGCAAGUCGAUCGAAGGAAGCCUAGCUUGCUAGGCUGAAUUAGAGGCGAACGGGUGAGUAACACAUAAGCAACCUACCCACGAAGACUGGGAUAAUCCUUGGAAACGGGGACUAAAACCGGAUAGGUAACGAGACCACAUGAUCUCGUUAUUAAAGGUUAAAAACACUGGUGGAUGGGCUUAUGGUGCAUUAGUUAGUUGGUGAGGUAAUGGCCCACCAAGACGAUGAUGCAUAGCCGGGCUGAGAGGCUGAACGGCCACAUUGGGACUGAGACACGGCCCAGACUCCUACGGGAGGCAGCAGUAGGGAAUUUUCGGCAAUGGGGGCAACCCUGACCGAGCAACGCCGCGUGAGUGAAGAAGGUUUUCGGAUUGUAAAGCUCUGUUGUAAGGGAAGAACGAUACUGUGAGAAACAGUAAGUGACGGUACCUUACCAGAAAGCCACGGCUAACUACGUGCCAGCAGCCGCGGUAAUACGUAGGUGGCAAGCGUUAUCCGGAAUUAUUGGGCGUAAAGGGUGCGUAGGCGGUCUGUAAAGUUCAUGGUGAAAGCGUGGGGCUCAACCCCAUAAAGCCAUGGAUACUGGCAGACUAGAGUACUGGAGAGGGUAGUGGAAUUCCAUGUGUAGCGGUAAAAUGCGUAGAUAUAUGGAGGAACACCAGUGGCGAAGGCGGCUACCUAGACAGAGACUGACGCUGAGGCACGAAAGCGUGGGGAGCAAAUAGGAUUAGAUACCCUAGUAGUCCACGCUGUAAACGAUGAAUGCUAGGUAUUGGGGCGACUCAGUGCUGCAGCAAACGCAAUAAGCAUUCCGCCUGUGGAGUAUGCACGCAAGUGUGAAACAUAAAGGAAUUGACGGGGGCCCGCACAAGCGGUGGAGUAUGUGGUUUAAUUCGACGCAACGCGAAGAACCUUACCAGGCCUUGACAUCCCCUGCAAAACUAUAGAGAUAUAGCAGAGGUUACCAGGGUGACAGGUGGUGCAUGGUUGUCGUCAGCUCGUGUCGUGAGAUGUUGGGUUAAGUCCCGCAACGAGCGCAACCCUUGUCUUCAGUUACCAGCAUUCAGUUGGGGACUCUGGAGAGACUGCCGGUGAUAAACCGGAGGAAGGUGGGGAUGACGUCAAAUCAUCAUGCCCCUUAUGGCCUGGGCUACACACGUACUACAAUGGCUAUUACAACGUGACGCAACACAGCGAUGUGAAGCAAAUCACUUAAAGAUAGUCUCAGUUCGGAUUGAAGUCUGCAACUCGACUUCAUGAAGCUGGAAUCGCUAGUAAUCGCGGAUCAGCAUGCCGCGGUGAAUACGUUCUCGGGCCUUGUACACACCGCCCGUCAUACCAUGAGAGUUGGUAAUACCCGAAGCCGGUGGCCUAACCGCAAGGAAGGAGCCGUCGAAGGUAGGACUAAUGAUUGGGGUCAAGUCGUAACAAGGUAGCCGU